rnacentral:rRNA from 1 species
ACGGGUGAGUAACACGUAGGCAACCUGCCCCCAAGAUCGGGAUAACAUUCGGAAACGAAUGCUAAGACCGGAUAAACAUUUCGCUCGCAUGAGGGGAAUGGGAAACACGGAGCAAUCUGUGGCUUGGGGAUGGGCCUGCGGCGCAUUAGCUAGUUGGUGGGGUAAAGGCUCACCAAGGCGACGAUGCGUAGCCGACCUGAGAGGGUGAACGGCCACACUGGGACUGAGACACGGCCCAGACUCCUACGGGAGGCAGCAGUAGGGAAUCUUCCACAAUGGGCGCAAGCCUGAUGGAGCAACGCCGCGUGAGUGAGGAAGGCUUUCGGGUCGUAAAGCUCUGUUGCCGGGGAAGAAUAAGGGUGUGUUAACUGCACAUUCGAUGACGGUACCUGAGAAGAAAGCCCCGGCUAACUACGUGCCAGCAGCCGCGGUAAUACGUAGGGGGCAAGCGUUGUCCGGAAUUAUUGGGCGUAAAGCGCGCGCAGGCGGUUCUUUAAGUCUGGUGUCUAAGGCUCGGGCUCAACCCGUGUUUGCACUGGAAACUGGAGAACUUGAGUGCAGAAGAGGAGAGCGGAA